UUUUUUUGACUUCAGGAUUCCUGCAUAUACCCUGCUAUUAGACCAUUUCUAACAAAAACAAAUGUGUAUAUGUUUGAAUUCGGGCCAAUAAAACCUUUUCUUUCUAUAUCAUCCAGAUAUUUUACAGGGCAACUUUAAGCCGGACUACUAUUUGAAACACAUUCAGAAGGACCUGAGGUUAGCCAUCUCCAUGGGUGACACGGCCAACCAUCCCACCCCCAUGGCCGCUGCAGCCAAUGAGGUCUACAAGAGGGCCAAGGCACUGGACCAGUCAGACAACGAUAUCUCUGCUGUGUACAGAGCCUACAUCCACUGAGCCGGUUGGGAUCCGGCCCAGCGUCUUCAAUCCUUCUUUCUCCCUUGUCGAGUAAUGCAUUUCUUAUUUCAUUUUAAAUUCUAGUUAUUUUACUUCAUUUUGCCACAGCAGCCGCCAUGUUGGUGCCCACAAUUGAGGGGAUUGUUAUUCCUUAGUUGGGGGGCCUUGAACAUUGCACUGACUGUACUGGGGUAUAAUUGCUGUGAGAGCUUGUACUACUGCAGUUGCUUUGUCUAGUUUCUGACAGCUGAAAUAGAAGUCAUGCGGGGCGGGGGGGGUUUCCUGGAUGGAUCGCCCUAAAGAAGAUUAUUUUUUCGUUCAUGUGAAAAUGAGUAUAUUUAAAUGAGUGUGAUAUUUGCUUUUUGCUUUAAAAUGUCCUGAAUUCCACGAGAGAAAACACCAAGAACAUGCCACUGCGUUGCCUUAAUAUUGUGUAACCCCUCAAGUCUUUCAACAUUAGUAUUUAUUUCUGUUUCUUUCUAGGUCUGCUUGGUGCAGAUUGGCCAUUGCUUAUUUCUAUAUUUGAAGAGAUGAUUUAUGCAUUUAUUUCUUACAUUGCCCGCAACAGGAUACAGGUUAAUGAAGGGGAGGGGGGGGCAGAUGCUCACAUGACAAGGAUGGUCUUGACUGUGUAGUGGAGGUCUUCACAAGUUCACACUCAAAAACAGUGUGUCCUUUACAUAGUUUUUUUUACACUGUAAAUGUUCCUGCUCCAUACAUAUAUUAAAUACUCCUUCAAAAAUUCAUUUUCUGAUAACUCAAAUUCCUUGUGGUUUUCUGCUUCCAACAUUCUUUAUCUAGGGAUCUACUUGUGUCUAGUUUAUGUUGAGUAUAAUUAUGUUAGACGGGUCAAGUUUUGUUACUGUGGUUCUCAGUUAUCUGCGUCAAUAUAUAAUACCCUUAUCCAUUUGGAUUUAUAAUCAUCUGUAACGUGUCCUGUCCAAUGAAGUUCCAUUUAGCAUUUUAUCAACAAUAUUCGACCUGUGAAGACCUACAUCACACCCAAACUAAUGCAGAUGUUAAUGUCCUACAUCACACCCAAACUAAUGCAGAUGUUAAUGUCCUACAUCACACCCAAACUAAUGAAGAUGUUAAUGUCCUACAUCACACCCAAACUAAUGCAGAUGUCAAUGUCCAGCAUACUGUGGGGCAAAAAAGUAUUUAGUCAGCCACCAAUUGUGCAAGUUCUCCCACUUAAAAAGAUG